rnacentral:rRNA from 1 species
UGCCAGCAGCCGCGGUAAUACGUAGGGUGCAAGCGUUGUUCGGAAUCAUUGGGCGUAAAGCGCGUGUAGGCGGCCAAUUAAGUCUGAUGUGAAAGCCCGAGGCUUAACCUCGGAAGUGCAUUGGAUACUGGUUGGCUAGAGGACGAGAGGGGGAAGUGGAAUUCCUGGUGUAGGGGUGAAAUCCGUAGAUAUCAGGAGGAACAUCGGUGGCGAAGGCGGCUAACUGGACCGGAACUGACGCUGAUGCACGAAAGCGUGGGUAGCAAACAGGAUUAGAUA